UACGGAGGGAGCUAGCGUUGUUCGGAAUUACUGGGCGUAAAGCGCACGUAGGCGGCUUUUUAAGUCAGGGGUGAAAUCCCGGGGCUCAACCCCGGAACUGCCCUUGAAACUGGAGAGCUAGAAUCUUGGAGAGGCGAGUGGAAUUCCGAGUGUAGAGGUGAAAUUCGUAGAUAUUCGGAAGAACACCAGUGGCGAAGGCGGCUCGCUGGACAAGUAUUGACGCUGAGGUGCGAAAGCGUGGGGAGCAAACAGG
rnacentral:rRNA from 1 species